rnacentral:lncRNA from 1 species
ACGAGACUACGUGACUGCAUUCACAACAGGCAUCAAAGGCAAUGACUUAACCAAACAGGAGAUUGAAUCAGUAUUGGUCAAGAAAUUCGGUGAAACACUCACUACGAGUGCGUAAACAUGAUAUUCUCUUUUUCUCGAAAAUUUCAUAAAUUCUUUUGCCGAGCUUGCAAAUUCUUUCAUCAAAGCACACCUAGGAGCUCAAAAAGUUGAAAGAAGAUUGGAAGAAAUUUUCAAAAUCAAACAAGGAGUCUCAAAAUUACUUAGAGAAUUCGUGGAUAGAUUCCAACGUGAAAGAAUGACAUUACCGUGUGUACCUGACAAUUGGGCGGCUAUAGCUUUCACCAGUAAUUUGAAUAAAAAGAGCUUCGAGGCAACAAGACAACUCAAAGAAAGUCUUCGUGAAUUCCUAGCCACUACAUGGAAUGACGGGUAUAAUAAGUAUAACACGAAGCGGAAGAUCAAAGAAGUCAUUAUUUCACGGUAUCAAAAAGAAGAAAAGGAUAAGUUCGAGACGGGUGGAAACCGAGAAAAGGUCCGGUAAAAACAAGUACGAACCAUACAUAGGACCUGCGGAAAAAUACUCACGAUCAAAACAGGAUAAUCAGAGAUACGAUCACAAAUAAAGGAAUAGAGAGUAAGGCUCGUCAUCAAGAUUAGGGAAUGAUGGAAACACACGUGAGUCUCGAAAUGAUGAUAGAAAAUUAAAGGCGAGGUUCAGCGGGUAUAAUUUCAAUGUGAGCACUUCCGAAUACGUAGUUGUUUUAUAAAGCAUGGGUGACAAGGUACGAUGGCCAAAAGAGAUGAGAUCGAAUCCAAACAGGCGCAACCCUGAUCAUUGGUGUCACACCUCCUUUUGACUUACACGGAUACCCCGAAGGAUAAAACGUAUAAGGGAGUUUUUCCAAUUAAAGUGACAUUAUUCGAAAUGGGAUUAAUUAUUUAUUUUUAUUCAGAGUUGACACUUGGGAUAGGUUUGGCUUUUGAUGUCCCAAGUCACCCAUUUAUUUAGAAUCCCAAAUCGAGGAAAUCUUUCGACUGCCAAAUGGAGUCUGCAAACCAGAAAUUCUUGAGUAAGGAAUUCUGUUAACCCAAGGGAAGGUGUUAGGCACCCUAGGAUUCCGAGGCUCUAGUACGAUCGCUUAAACUAUUAUAAAUGACUUAAUAUCUAAUUUCAAUACAUGUUUCAUCCUAUAGUGCAAUUUUAAUUAUUUACCGCUUUUAAUAUAUAUUUUUUAAAAAAAAGAAAAGAAAAUUGCAAUGUGGUUAAAGAACGCCGCGAACCACGUCACAUAAAUGCACCCGCGGUUUUUGACAUACUUCAACUUCAACUUCAUUGAGAUUUGAAUUUAGGUCACAUAAAUGUGCACCCGUACUUAGAAAGAUAAAAUUAUUAAAGACGCGUUUAAAGCAACUAUCGUGUUAUUAUCUCUGCGGGAAGCCGUGAAGUGUGCUAAACGGCUUGUCCCGAACUAGUUCUUUUGCUCAUAGGUUAAACUCAACAACUAAUCAAUGAUCGGAGUACUCAAAAUCAUGUAAUAGGCUAAAAGGACAAAUAAUUGCGAAUUGGUAUUGGUUACAGAAUGUAUCAAGAACUAUUGAGUUACUACCAAAUACUCCAUAAGCCAAGUUAGUACUGUUUGCAGGGGACUCUAGCCAACUCAUAAGCAGGCAGUAUAUGUGACCAACUUAAGAAAAUUCAAAUCACUAAAUCGAUAAUUAAACUACAAAACACUAGCUGGACAAUCACAAUUUGUGACAGUGAUAACCAUAAGCCAAUAUCACAAUAAAAAGUAUUCGGAAAAAUAAUCUUUCUAAAUCAUUGAUAAUAAACACUAGCUGGACAAUCGCAAUUUGUGACAGUGAUAACCAUAAGCCAAUAUUACAAUAAAAACUAUUCUGAAAAAUAAUCUUUCUAAAUAAUUGUUCCUUGUUUAAAUUAUUACAGUAAAUACACAUUCAAGCAAUUAUAGUCAACUGUAUAUAAAGAAAACUAGGAAACCGAUACACUAUGUAAUUCUACAAUUAGAGGGCUGUACUGGCUUCUUCAAGGAGGACUCCGGCCAACUGGUGGCAUAAUCCAUCCAUCCGCCAUAUCUCAAUGCCAUUUUAAGCAUAAAUUAUUAGUUAAUCAAUUACAGCCUAAAGAGUAUAAGGAACUAACUGACGCUACACUUUAGCAAAUUAACUUAGCUUCAACAGACGCAGAACAAAGAUCAACACAGAGUGAACAUUAAAUACUUAAAAACACAUUGAAUAUAUGGAAUCAAACAUAAACAACACAAGAGCAAGCAAAACGUUCGAACCAUACCAGCUACAAGUUGAAAUCAGCUACUAAUCGCAAGGGACAACAACAGAUGGUAACAAAAAGCAAAUCCCUCGGCAAACCCAGCAAGAGCGGCUAAAAUAAUCGAGAAAUAGAGCUUGAAAAAGCACUUGAGUUUAGAUUUAUGUGUUGGUUCAACACCUGUUCCAGCGAAUAUCUCCUUGAUAGCUGUAGAAAAAAUCAGCCACUACCCUAUAUUUGACUCUCAAAAUUACGAUGAGACCCAGCAGAUUUCACAUAGUGAUUCCGGGUUCUUAAGCAAAUGCAUUUGACACCUAUACAACUCCAAAUGCGGUACGCAACUCCAAUCAUUUCCUUUUCCCGGCAUAAAUUAGUCAAAUAAAGUAUGGAACUAAAACAAAUGUAGCUCCAUAACAACAGAAUAACAACGAGAAACAGUGUAAUGACAACACAAAUCAACGGGCAACAAGCGAAAACUCCACGGCUCCAAAACAGCUUUCUAUAUAUGAAAAUUUCGGGACAACAGUAGUAAGACUUUAAAAUAGCCAACAGUAGUAAGACUUUAAAAUAGCCAAAUAUAGGCCGAAAAUUACUUCAAAUGGGCGUUCAGCUACUAAUUGCAGGAGAAAACAACCACAAAGAGCUCCGACUUCUAUUGGUAAGGAAGAUCAACAACAAUAGCAACAAGAGCACAAAUCCACUGCUCUGAACCAGAUACCCAGCAUAUUCGACAACUUCAGCAAUAAUGAAACUUCAACAAGUCCGAAACAUCGACGGGAAGAAACUCGAACCUCGACGAUGCAAUAAACUUUGGACUUGACCUUUUCGGAGUCCCUUUUAAAUUCAGCUGAAGGAAACAACCAUUUUAUGAUUUUUUGCUGACUGUUUGGGGUUAAUUUUAAUGGCUUCUUUGACUGGUUCCGGGGUGGAGACGAAGAAGCAAGGGGGAUUGGGGUGUGUAAGGGUUGAGGAAGAUGAAGACGUGAAGGGGGAGAGGGGGUCUCUCUGGUUGUUGAUUUUUUUUUUUUUUUUUUUUUGUAGAACCAG